ACGGAGGAUGCAAGCGUUAUCCGGAAUGAUUGGGCGUAAAGGGUCCGCAGGUGGCAUUGUAAGUCUGCUGUUAAAGAGUCUGGCUCAACCAGAUAAAAGCAGUGGAAACUACAAAGCUAGAGUAUGGUCGGGGCAGAGGGAAUUCCUGGUGUAGCGGUGAAAUGCGUAGAUAUCAGGAAGAACACCGGUGGCGAAGGCGCUCUGCUAGUCCAAAACUGACACUGAGGGACGAAAGCUAGGGGAGCGAAUGGGAUUAGAUACCCCAGUAGUCCUAGCCGUAAACGAUGGAUACUAGGCGUAGCUCGUAUCGACCCGAGCUGUGCCGUAGCUAACGCGUUAAGUAUCCCGCCUGGGGAGUACGCAGGCAACUGUG
rnacentral:rRNA from 1 species